rnacentral:rRNA from 1 species
CAGCACCUCAAGUGGUCAGGAUGAUUAUUGGGCCUAAAGCAUCCGUAGCCGGCGCUGUAAGUUUUCGGUUAAAUCUGUACGCUCAACGUACAGGCUGCCGGGAAUACUGCAGCGCUAGGGAGUGGGAGAGGUAGACGGUACUCGGUAGGAAGGGGUAAAAUCCUUUGAUCUAUUGAUGACCACCUGUGGCGAAGGCGGUCUACCAGAACACGUCCGCCGGUGAGGGAUGAAAGCUGGGGGAGCAAACCGGAUUAGAGACCCGAGUAGUCC